rnacentral:tRNA from 1 species
CAAAAAAUAGUUUAAUGUAAUAUUAAUUUUGGAGAUUAAAGGUAUAAAAAUAUUUUAUUUUUUUGA